rnacentral:rRNA from 1 species
UGGAGGAAAGCAGGGGAUCGUAAGACCUUGCGCUUUUGGAGCGGCCGAUGUCUGAUUAGCUAGUUGGUGGGGUAAUGGCCUACCAAAGCUUCGAUCAGUAGCUGGUCUGAGAGGACGGCCAGCCACACUGGGACUGAGACACGGCCCAGACUCCUACGGGAGGCGGCAGUGGGGAAUUUUGGACAAUGGGCGCAAGCCUGAUCCAGCCAUGCCGCGUGAGUGAAGAAGGCCUUCGGGUUGUAAAGCUCUUUCAGCCGGGAAGAAAAGGCUGCGAUUAAUAAUCGCAGUUCAUGACGGUACCGGAAGAAGAAGCACCGGCUAACUACGUGCCAGCAGCCGCGGUAAUACGUAGGGUGCGAGCGUUAAUCGGAAUUACUGGGCGUAAAGGGUGCGCAGGCGGUUUUGUAAGUCAGAUGUGA